rnacentral:rRNA from 1 species
GACGAACGCUGGCGGCGUGCUUAACACAUGCAAGUCGAACGGUGAAGCGCCUUCCUUUUUGGUGGGUGUGGAUGAGUGGCGAACGGGUGAGUAACACGUGAGUAACCUGCCCCCUUCUUCUGGAUAACCGCAUGAAAGUGUGGCUAAUACGGGAUAUUCUGGGUCUGUCGCAUGAUGGGUCUGGGAAAGAUAUUGUUUCGGUGGGGGAUGGGCUCGCGGCCUAUCAGCUUGUUGGUGGGGUGAUGGCCUACCAAGGCGGUGACGGGUAGCCGGCCUGAGAGGGUGGACGGUCACACUGGGACUGAGACACGGCCCAGACUCCUACGAGAGGCAGCAGUGGGGAAUAUUGCACAAUGGGCGCAAGCCUGAUGCAGCGACGCCGCGUGAGGGAUGGAGGCCUUCGGGUUGUGAACCUCUUUCGCCAGUGAAGCAGGCCUGCCUCGUUUGUGGGUGGGUUGACGGUAGCUGGAUAAGAAGCGCCGGCUAGCUACGUG